UACUUUUCUGACAAUGUUUGGCGUGGUCCUGCAGCCCUCAGAAGGGCCCUGGUGCAAUCAGCAAGCUGAGCACCUUUAGCACAUAGCCAGUUGGGUCAGGCCAGCACAAACAUGGAUUCAACUCCCUCAAAUAGUACUCACUGGGACCAUGUGCCACUUCUCACAUUAAACUGAGGGUUCCCACCCUCAGCAGAUAUUAGACCAAAGCUCAAGUAGUUAAGUGGAUAUCUGUGUGGAUAUGGAAAUAUGCAUAUGUCUGUUGUUUAUUAAAAAGAAGCUACAAAUGAUCUCUGGCACAGACACCAAGAUCAGAACUCUCCUUCCAAAUGACUGCCCUGACCACUUAGACAAAGGUAAGCUCUGUCCUGAACUUACUGUACAUCUUGACUUUCCUCUAACUUGAGAAAAAGCCUGAGCUCUUGUCUGGCCUCCUUGGCCAGUGCCCCCAGUAGAAACAUGGCAGGAGGUGUGUAUCAGUGCAGGACUCCAUGGGCAUCUGAUGUCCCUGUUCCCCCAGGUUUGUGGGUAAAAGCCUCUCUGGGAGCCAGGAAGGCUGCAGGAUGCCAUGGGACACGUGCCUCUGAAGAGACCAGAUCAAGUCAUGCUGGGCUUGAUAGCUGUCCUAACAGGCUGGUCUCAUAGGGCAGCUCUGGUCACUGCCUGGACCUCAGCAGCAACUCCCAGGAUGUGUUAGCUGGGAUAUCUUGCUGUCCAGGGUCUACAUGUGGUGAGGUGGGCAGCAGCAUUUCCUGCUGUCCCCAAGCAUUCCAUUCCAAAAAGGAAAGAUCAAAUUGUACAGUUUCAUCAUUUGAAGAAAGGGAAUGUAAUGAAAAAUGGGGAAAUUAGAGUCUCAUUGUAUGUGUGGGUCAGUCUGCUUGUUUGUCCUCAACCACUUAAUUAGAAAAGGACACAUUAAAAUUGUUUAAUGAUUCCAAGACAAUUUACUCUUCUGUUUUCAGGGGAAGUUUGGAAAAGUUCAGGUAACAAGUAAAAUUUGAGUAAUACCCAUGUGGCUGUGACUGAAAUUGGAGGGCUUUGCCUCCUACAAGGCCUGAAGUGAUCAGCAAUUUCUUAGUCGGAAAAUAUGCUGCUUCCAUUGACAGUUCUGGUUACAGUGUAGCUCCAACUACUGGACUGUCUUGUUUGAAACAAAUUGUCAUUGCUGCAUUUUGGAAAACAGUUCUUGAGACUGAUGUGAGUGGUGCAAGCUUGCAGGACUGUUGAAUUAAUGUUUAACUUUAAGCCCAGCAUGAGUGCAGCAGGGCUCAGGCUGGACACUUCUUGAAUGUCAUGAACACCCC